rnacentral:misc_RNA from 1 species
GCACUCUUUCUUAUUGGAGCUUGCUGAAACAAUUGCUAAGCUUGAUGAAUCAUUAGGGGAAUCUGAUACCUCAGCCAUAAAAUUUUGCACUAGUGACCAAUUGCCUAGCUGCAUUGCUGCCUCUGUCAUAGAUGCUGUCAAAAUGAUUGAUGAUCUUAGAGAGAGACUUCAAGCUACUGCCUCCAGUGGCGAAGCAUUUAGGAUGUUAUAUGAA